AUGGCACACAAACUAAAGAUCAGAAACUGCAUUCUAAUGUGCACAUAUCUGCUGGCGAUGCUGUCUGGACGGGAUGCUCUCUCGUGCUGCAGAAGAGAUUUCACCAACGGAUCGUCCUCCUGUGAGCUGAGUGAUCCCCCAGACCAGAGCUGUGACACGCACUGGAGCGCUGACGGUAUAGCGGUGGUUGACGAGUCUGGAGGGGUGGAUGAGAGCAGAGUUCAUCAUGCAGGAUCUCAGAGCAUCGUUCUGAGAGGAAAACACACUGAUGUGAUCUUCUGGAUGGACUGUGCUCCACCGAAGGUCAGGAGUUCUGUUCAGUCCAUUAUAAACACUGUCAUCAAAUAUAUAAAACCGCACGUGUUUCUCAUGUCUUCUCACCUGCGUCUCUCUGCAGAAUUCUGUGCGGCUGGAUUGUAACGGUGAGUGCAAAAAUAAUUCAGUGUAUGAAAGUCAAAUCUGUGCUGUUUCAUUUUAACAGAUUUCUGUAUUGAAAUAUAUAAUUUCGGGGUUGGUAAGAUUAUUAUUAUUUUUUUUUAAAUUAGUCACUUCUUUUCACCAAGGCUGCAUUUAUUUGAUCAAAAAUACAGUAAAAACAGUGAAAUAUUAUAACAAUUUCAAACAGCUGUUUUCUAUGUGAAUAUGUAUUAUUGUGUAAUUUAUUUCUGUGAUUCAUGAUUCAGCAUCAUUAUAUCAGUGUCACAUAUUUGAUCUCUAAUAUUAGAAACUUGAUAAUUUUAUUUUCAGGAUUCAAUAGAAAGUUCAAAAUUACUUAUUUGGAACAGAAUUCUUUGGUAACAUUAUAACGGUCUUUACUGUCACUCUUGAUCAAUUUAAUGCAGCCUUGAUGAAUGAAAGUAUUAAUUUACCAUCCAGUCUUUGAAUGGUAGUAGGGUAAAAUAUAUUAUGGGUAUUUAAUUAGAUAAUAUCAAUGUCAAUAUAACAAAUAUAAGUCUUUACAGUACAUCAUGAGUGAUGAUUGUAUAGAUGAGCUUAUAUUCAGCAUGACUGAGCUGUGUUAUUAUCUGUUCCAUCAGAUCUCUGCCGAUCUUCUCCAGGUGAGUCUGAUGAGAGUGUAAGAAUUAUGACACGGCUCUCUGAAAAAAAAGAUCUAAAUACUUCAUUCACACUUAAAAUAUCAUUUAUUAUAAAGAAAGAUGCAACAAGUUAUGAAAUAAUAAAACAAUGUGUGUUUUUUGUUUGUUUUUCAGAACAGCCACAUAACGCUGCAAACAGGAGCACGCCUGAUGGCAUCUUCAUCUUCCUGCCCAUCGUCAUCAUCUUCAUCUUCAUCUGUGUCACCUAGAUUUAUUGGGUGAGAAGAAAAUAGGAGAAAAUGAAAUGUUUGAUUUACAGUAACAACAUUCAGUGAUGUGAAAGAGAAUCAUUUCUGGUUUCAGGAGGAUUCUGUGGGUGUUGUGGUGACUCUGGAUUCUGUGACGUGGAGACCAAACCCAGAGAUGAACCACAAAGAUCAUAACUAUAAAAAUAUCUGUCUAUCUAUAUCAUACAUGAAACUAUAAUUUUAGUGAAUAAAGUUAUUAUUAAUUUGUAUUUAUGUUAAAUAUAUGAAAUAUAUGCUAUU
rnacentral:lncRNA from 12 species